GUGCUCGGCUAGUAGUUUCAGCGUUCCGGCACGGAUGGCGCCACCAAUGCUCGGCUAGUAAUUUCAGCAUUCCACCACGGAUGGCGCCACCAAUGCUCGGCUAGUAGUUUCAGCAUUCCGCCACGGAUGGCGCCACCAGUGCUCGGCGAGUAGUUUCAGCGCUCCGCCACGGAUGGCGCCGCCUAUGUUUCAGUGUUCAGCCAAUAGAAAAAUAGUUUAUUUUCUAUUGGUCGACCGCGGUGAGAAAGGACAACGACCAAUAUCAAUCACUGUCUAGGAUCAUUGGAGGGAGAGCGGAUUACAACAGAUGUCGAAAUGUAAAUACGAUGCCACUUCCUUCGUUGAAAGGGCAAUCAAUUGGACGCAGCUUUCUCUCUUUAAGAGAGGUAGAAAGAAUCUUACCAUUUCUCUAUGAAAUUUGGCAAUUGAUGUGGGACUAGCCAGACAUUCAACUACGCACGAUGUUAAAGUGCGACGCGUGCAACUUUCCAAGGUUUUAUCGUCAACCAACGUUCGAACCUACCGCAGUCUGGUUUGCUGCCACGUGUUCUGGUACCGGCGAACUCGACGCCGUGGGGGUCGACACACCAGCAGAGACCAAGACCACGAUGACACUGGGUACUUCGGUAGUACCCUCGAGAAUCGCAGGCGGGUGCAACGUCCGGUGACGAUCGCUUGCGCACGGCGGCGCAGGGACGUUCAGCUUUUGAGAAGCAGCCGCACCAUUCGGGUCCGUUCACGAAGAUGUCUCUGAAAGUAUCAUUCUUAUUGACUAUCCAACAUCCGUACUCCGUCAUCUAUCUAACCGGUAAAACAAUUAAUAGGUUGAAAGGGGUACAAGUCUCGAUAUCGAAGGAUCAAUUCGAGCAAUCUGCGUUGCAUUCGGACACACGUCAAAGGACAACGACGGGACAAUGCCAUUGGGCGUCGCCAUUGGCCUAUCUCGGCGGAGCAAACCACCACACGGCAACGAAGACCUCGUAAAGCGAGAAAUAAACGGCAUAGUAAAGUAGCAAAGUGACUCGCGUAUGCGUUCGGGAGAGGGGACGAAGGGGGUAGAUGAGACAAGCUUACGCGAUCGCGGAGUCUCUCCAGGCAACUUCUCGACUCGCAUCUUUUCGUUAUUCCGCGUUCAGCUGUUUCAUUCGCGACAACGAAUGCAUCCGUUCGACUUGCUUUUCACACGUAUCCGUGCAAUCAUCCUCUCCCUAACAAUCAGUCGGCUACUUGGUCGGGAGGCACGUACGCUCGAGACCUAUUACACUCGAGCGUCCGGCGCGGCACGACACGACACGACACGACACGACGACGACGUCCACAACCCUCUCACCGUUGCGGGAUGGCGACGGUAUUAAAAACUGAAAGGGUUUCUCGUUCCCUUUCCGGGUCACGUGUCCCGCGAGUUUAAUGAUUUACAAGCAGUGGGACGGGGUUACAUAAAGGGGGAAGAAUCCGCGAUGCGACAAGCGGAUUACAACGCGAGCAGGACGUGUCUCUCGCUACGUGAACGGAAUCGAAGGGGUUGUCACGCCCUCUUAGCGUUUCCAAUGCCGCUUAUCGACGUCGCGACCGUCCGAGAAUCGAGCCGGGUGCCACGGCCGAAGCUCUCGACGGAUUUUAAACGGUAGCGCCCGCUAGAGACCGACGGGUCUUCGACCUUCUUAUCCGGCGGAUUCCGGAAGACCUCGAAUUCGAACGAGCUUACACAUUGUCUGCGCGAGCCGAGACAGAGGAUAGGCGAAUUUUAAUACUCGUUCGCCGGCAGGAACGCGAAAAAACGGGUUACAAGGACUGGGACGCGUCUCUCUACGUGCUCGGAAUCUCGCCGAGCUACGAAAGGGGUUGGUCCGUUCCCUCUUCGCCUUUCUCUCUCUCUCUCUCUCUCUCUCUCUCUCUCUCUCUCUCUCUCUCUGUUCCCUCUCGGAGAGACACGCGGCGCGGGCACUCACCCGUCUGUGUCGCAGCCGUCCAAGAACGGCUUCAGACACGGCUCGUUCUGAUCGUGUUCCAGCCCGUACAACUCGGAAAGGGAGAGCCGGCCGUCGUUGUCGCUGUCCAAAUGUCCGAACAUCCACCUGACCUCGCUCUGGCAGCCGAUGGGGAGGUGACCUGGAAAACGUCGUCCGCGAAAUAUGAAUUACAAUGGCCACAUCUACGCGACGAACUGCGCCGAAUCGAAUCGAAUUGUAGCGAAUCGAAUCGCGAUUUCGCUCGCUGAACGUCGGACGGCUUUCCAGUUCCUUUGAAACCGGCGGAGGCGACCGUCUUCCAAGGGAUUUACAGGCUUCGACCGGAAUUAUCGAAAUUGGAGACGGAGGCAGACGGAGGUUCGAGUGAAAUGUAAACGAGGGACGCGCGUAACUGUUGUUCGAAUUCGACCGAUCGACCGGCCCCGCAACUACCGUAACUCGGGGCUGAAGGGUCGCAAGAUCACAGGGACAGAGACGUCGAAGGGAGAGGAUCGGGGAGGAAGGUACAGGCCCGGAGAACAAUAUCGCGGGAGACACGGCAAAGUAAUCGCGCGCCGGAUCCCGACGGGAAGCGAUUCAUCGCAACGGGACAAUUCCGAACUGGUACGAAAGCGAUUGUACCGAAGUCGAAUGCCGUGCGGCGACGUGUGGCAGUUCGAAACUGUAACGUCCAGGAACCCGUUCCGUCUCGCGCGGAGCAAUUAGUCUCUUGUACAUAUUCGGCCGCGAUCCUCGGUUCACGGCGGCACGGCGUCUCCGCUAUAAUCGCCGCGAACACCGCGCCGGCUUUCCAAUUUGUAUCGCAAGGGUUGUC